UACGGAGGGUGCAAGCGUUAUCCGGAAUUACUGGGUUUAAAGGGUGCGUAGGCGGGUCAUUAAGUCAGUGGUGAAAGACUAUCGCUUAACGAUAGAAUUGCCGUUGAUACUGAUGAUCUUGAAUUGGGUUGAGGUUAGCGGAAUGUGACAUGUAGCGGUGAAAUGCAUAGAUAUGUCAUGGAACACCAAUUGCGAAGGCAGCUAACUGGGCCUUGAUUGACGCUGAGGCACGAAAGCGUGGGUAGCGAACAGG
rnacentral:rRNA from 1 species